GCAAAAGAGUGGGAAGAUCUUUGAGUAGAGGUGACAGACCUACCGAGCUCAGUUAUAGCUGGUUGCCUACAAAAAGAAUAGAAGUUCAGCCUUUACACUUCUUCUCUCAAAACUGCAUAUACUAAUAAGUGACACAAAGAAGUUAAAAGAGUUAUUCAAGGGGGGAACAGCCCCCUUGAAAAAAGAUACAACUUUAUUUAGAAGGCUAAAGAUUAAAAUACCCCAGGCAAAUAUACCUUGGUGGGCCUAAAAGCAGCCAUCCAUAUAGAAAGCGUUAAAGCUCAAGUACUUUGCCCCUCCCUAAUUUCAAUAAUUCAAUCUUAAGCCCCUUAAUUAAUAGUAGGCCUUUUCAUGCACCCAUGAAAGAGAUACUGCUGAGAUGAGUAAUAAGAGGACCGCUCCUCUCCCCAACACUUGUAUAAUUCAGAACGAACCCCCACUGAAAACUAACGCCCCCAACUAAAAGAGGGGCCUGGGAAAGCCCAAAAUAAACUAGAAGCUCACCCAACAAUUAGCGUUAACCCUACACAGGUGUGUUUUAAGGAAAGACUAAAAGAAAAAGAAGGAACUCGGCAAACACUGGCCUCGCCUGUUUACCAAAAACAUCGCCUCUUGCAACAAACGUAUAAGAGGUCCCGCCUGCCCUGUGACUUACUAGUUUAACGGCCGCGGUAUUUUGACCGUGCGAAGGUAGCGUAAUCACUUGUCUUUUAAAUGGAGACCUGUAUGAAUGGCACAACGAGGGCUAAGCUGUCUCCUUUUUCCAGUCAAUGAAAUUGAUUUUCCCGUGCAGAAGCGGGAAUAUAAACAUAAGACGAGAAGACCCUAUGGAGCUUAAGACACAAGGCAGCCCAUGUAAAACACCUGGCUCAACAGAAUUAACCAAGUGGCCCCUGCCCUUUUGUCUUUGGUUGGGGCGACCGCGGGGAAACAAAAAUCCCCCACGUGGAAUGGGGCCAACCCCCCUAAAGCCAGAGCUACAGCUCUAGCUAGCAGAACAUCUGACCUACAAGAUCCGGCAAAGCCGAUCAACGGACCGAGUUACCCUAGGGAUAACAGCGCAAUCCCCUUUUAGAGCCCAUAUCGACAAGGGGGUUUACGACCUCGAUGUUGGAUCAGGACAUCCUAAUGGUGCAGCCGCUA
rnacentral:rRNA from 1 species